rnacentral:rRNA from 1 species
CACUCCUGCGGGAGGCAGCAGUGGGGAAUAUUGGACAAUGGGCGCAAGCCUGAUCCAGCCAUGCCGCGUGAGUGAUGAAGGCCCUAGGGUUGUAAAGCUCUUUCACCGGUGAAGAUAAUGACGGUAACCGGAGAAGAAGCCCCGGCUAACUUCGUGCCAGCAGCCGCGGUAAUACAAAGGGGGCUAGCGUUGUUCGGAUUUACUGGGCGUAAAGCGCACGUAGGCGGACUAUUAAGUCAGGGGUGAAAUCCCGGGGCUCAACCCCGGAACUGCCUUUGAUACUGGUAGUCUUGAGUUCGAGAGAGGUGAGUGGAAUUCCGAGUGUAGAGGUGAAAUUCGUAGAUAUUCGGAGGAACACCAGUGGCGAAGGCGGCUCACUGGCUCGAUACUGACGCUGAGGUGCGAAAGCGUGGGGAGCAAACAGGAUUAGAUACCCCGGUAGUCCC